GCAGUGUGGGGUCCAGUUCUUGGGCACACUUCAAGGAAGUAUUUGACAUAUUAGUGAGGAUUCAGCAAGAGAAAAAGGCCAACAAGAGCUGGAGGACUUUGUGUUGAGAACAUAUUUUGGAGUAGGCCUCCAAGACCUCUAGAUAAGUCUCUGGACCCACUGUGUCAGCCUCAUCUCUGCAUGUUUUCUUCUCACCAGCAUCUGUUCCUGAAACUGGCCUGGAGCACACAUGUCCAAGCAGCCCUCUGAGGACUUUAUUUCAACACAGGAGAAAUAUACACCAGGUUAAAGAAUCAUAAUAAGGAAGAGAUGAUCACAAGGAACCAGCAUGGAAAACAAUUCACCUCAAACUACAUUUUCUUUACUCUUUAACAUGGUUCGAGCCCUGGCUCGGGAAGAUCCCACAUGCCGCG